rnacentral:ncRNA from 2 species
UUUUUAUUAAGAAGGGCGGAGAGAUUAGGCUCUGAGAAACCCUGGCAACCAAUCCCGAGUACUCGGGAGAACGGUGCCAAAACCUAAUCCCGGGAAAGCCGGGAGAUGAUAAAAA